AUGAGAAAACCAAGGAGCUCUAGCGAAGUCACAAAGAAAAAACAUGUGAACCUCAUCCUCUUGCUGACCACAUCUGCAACAAUAUUGAGAAAUAUGUACGGAAAAGCGCCCAACCCUCAAACCUGUGGGAAGAGCUUUCCGAAGGAGUCUCCAAGCGAAAGUUUGAACUCUGGGGAUCAUCAACUUUUGCUUCCAAAUCAACUUGAGAAGAUUUUUCAUCUGCAAAGAAACUUGGGAAGGAGUAUUUCUUGGAUUGGCAUGAAUAUCCUGCAAACACAAUUUAUAAGUGGACUUGGAAGAACAAGUACCAUUAGGAGUUAG
rnacentral:rRNA from 1 species